UAACUUGGUAAAACUUUGUUUCUGAGUUGAAGUUUUACUUUCACAUUUCUCAUAUAUUCUUGCAAUCAAGCUAGAUCAGUAGUGCGAGAGAGAGAGAGAGAGAGAGAGAGAGAGAGAGAGAGAGAGAGAGAGAGAGAGAGAGAGAGAGAGAGAGAGAGAGAGAGAGAGAGAGAGAGAGAGAGAGAGAGAGAGAGAGAGAGAGAGAGAGAGAGAGAGAGAGAGAGAGAGAGAGAGAGAGAGAGAGAGAGAGAGAGAGAGAGAGAGAGAGAGAGAGAGAGAGAGAGAAAGAGAGAGAGAGAGAGAGAGCGAGAGAGAGAAAGAGGAAAGAGGAAAGAGGAAAGAGGAAAGAGGAAAACAUAUGAGAUUCGAAGAAGAACUCUAAAAUUGCGAACAAAGAACAACAAAUCAAAAAAGAGAAGAAACAUAUAAGAUUCGAAGAAGAACAAAAGGAAAAGCAGAACAACCGAAGAAAAAAAUUAAAGACAAAAAAGAUUUGGAUCGAAGAAUGAAAGCGAAGAAAGAAAAAGAGAAGAGAGAAAAAAAGAGAAGUGAGAAAGAAGAUGAAGAAUGGAAAUGAAAUCUAGAUCUGUAGAGAUAAGAGAGAAAAUUAGGUUUAAUGGCAUGUUGUGUAAAUAAGUAUAUUCAUAUUGAGUAUAUUGGAUUUUUUAUCAGAUUUCGAAUUAAAAAUAAAUAAAAAUGAAAUAAACUAUAGUUGAAGAGUAUCUGAAAAAAAAAAUUAAAAGAGAGAAGUAUUGGAGCAAUUGAUUCCGAGCUUUCUCUAGUUUCUUAUCUGCCAAAAGUAUGUCUCCUUCAGUAAUUAAGAUACCAGAAAAAUUAGCUUGACAUGUCCACUUAGGAAAAACAGUAAGUUAGCUUUG
rnacentral:lncRNA from 1 species